GACGAACGCUGGCGGCGUGCCUAAUACAUGCAAGUAGAACGCUGAAGGAGGAGCUUGCUUCUCUGGAUGAGUUGCGAACGGGUGAGUAACGCGUAGGUAACCUGCCUGGUAGCGGGGGAUAACUAUUGGAAACGAUAGCUAAUACCGCAUAAGAGUAGAUGUUGCAUGACAUUUGCUUAAAAGGUGCAAUUGCAUCACUACCAGAUGGACCUGCGUUGUAUUAGCUAGUUGGUGGGGUAACGGCUCACCAAGGCGACGAUACAUAGCCGACCUGAGAGGGUGAUCGGCCACACUGGGACUGAGACACGGCCCAGACUCCUACGGGAGGCAGCAGUAGGGAAUCUUCGGCAAUGGACGGAAGUCUGACCGAGCAACGCCGCGUGAGUGAAGAAGGUUUUCGGAUCGUAAAGCUCUGUUUAAGAGAAGAACGAGUGUGAGAGUGGAAAGUUCACACUGUGACGGUAUCUUACCAGAAAGGGACGGCUAACUACGUG
rnacentral:rRNA from 1 species